rnacentral:rRNA from 1 species
AAUCCAUAGGUUAAUGAGGCGAACCGGGGGAACUGAAACAUCUAAGUACCCCGAGGAAAAGAAAUCAACCGAGAUUCCCCCAGUAGCGGCGAGCGAACGGGGAGGAGCCCAGAGCCUGAAUCAGCAUGUGUGUUAGUGGAAGCGUCUGGAAAGGCGCGCGAUACAGGGUGACAGCCCCGUACACAAAAGCGCAUGUGCUGUGAGCUCGAUGAGUAGGGCGGGACACGUGGUAUCCUGUCUGAAUAUGGGGGGACCAUCCUCCAAGGCUAAAUACUCCUGACUGACCGAUAGUGAACCAGUACCGUGAGGGAAAGGCGAAAAGAACCCCGGCGAGGGGAGUGAAAAAGAACCUGAAACCGUGUACGUACAAGCAGUGGGAGCACAGGUUUACCUGUGUGACUGCGUACCUUUUGUAUAAUGGGUCAGCGACUUAUAUUCUGUAGCAAGGUUAACCGUAUAGGGGAGCCGUAGGGAAACCGAGUCUUAACCGGGCGUUAAGUUGCAGGGUAUAGACCCGAAACCCGGUGAUCUAGCCAUGGGCAGGUUGAAGGUUGGGUAACACUAACUGGAGGACCGAACCGACUAAUGUUGAAAAAUUAGCGGAUGACCUGUGGCUGGGGGUGAAAGGCCAAUCAAACCGGGAGAUAGCUGGUUCUCCCCGAAAGCUAUUUAGGUAGCGCCUCGUGAAUUCAUCUCCGGGGGUAGAGCACUGUUUCGGCUAGGGGGCCAUCCCGGCUUACCAACCCGAUGCAAACUGCGAAUACCGGAGAAUGUUAUCACGGGAGACACACGGCGGGUGCUAACGUCCGUCGUGAAGAGGGAAACAACCCAGACCGCCAGCUAAGGUCCCAAAGUCAUGGUUAAGUGGGAAACGAUGUGGGAAGGCCCAGACAGCCAGGAUGUUGGCUUAGAAGCAGCCAUCAUUUAAAGAAAGCGUAAUAGCUCACUGGUCGAGUCGGCCUGCGCGGAAGAUGUAACGGGGCUAAACCAUGCACCGAAGCUGCGGCAGCGACGCUGAUGCGUUGUUGGGUAGGGGAGCGUUCUGUAAGCCUGCGAAGGUGGCCUGUGAGGGUUGCUGGAGGUAUCAGAAGUGCGAAUGCUGACAUAAGUAACGAUAAAGCGGGUGAAAAGCCCGCUCGCCGGAAGACCAAGGGUUCCUGUCCAACGUUAAUCGGGGCAGGGUGAGUCGACCCCUAAGGCGAGGCCGAAAGGCGUAGUCGAUGGGAAACGGGUUAAUAUUCCCGUACUUGGUGUUACUGCGAAGGGGGGACGGAGAAGGCUAUGUUGGCCGGGCGACGGUUGUCCCGGUUUAAGCGUGUAGGUGUGUGUUCCAGGUAAAUCCGGUUCACUUUAACACUGAGGCGUGACGACGAGGCACUACGGUGCUGAAGCAACAAAUGCCCUGCUUCCAGGAAAAGCCUCUAAGCAUCAGGUAACAUCAAAUCGUACCCCAAACCGACACAGGUGGUCAGGUAGAGAAUACCAAGGCGCUUGAGAGAACUCGGGUGAAGGAACUAGGCAAAAUGGUGCCGUAACUUCGGGAGAAGGCACGCUGACACGUAGGUGAAGUGAUUUACUCAUGGAGCUGAAGUCAGUCGAAGAUACCAGCUGGCUGCAACUGUUUAUUAAAAACACAGCACUGUGCAAACACGAAAGUGGACGUAUACGGUGUGACGCCUGCCCGGUGCCGGAAGGUUAAUUGAUGGGGUCAGCGCAAGCGAAGCUCCUGAUCGAAGCCCCGGUAAACGGCGGCCGUAACUAUAACGGUCCUAAGGUAGCGAAAUUCCUUGUCGGGUAAGUUCCGACCUGCACGAAUGGCGUAAUGAUGGCCAGGCUGUCUCCACCCGAGACUCAGUGAAAUUGAACUCGCUGUGAAGAUGCAGUGUACCCGCGGCAAGACGGAAAGACCCCGUGAACCUUUACUAUAGCUUGACACUGAACAUUGAGCCUUGAUGUGUAGGAUAGGUG